GCCAGCAGUCAUAUCACCCUGCAACUCACUGGCAAACCCCUGAAGUUAUGCAGGUGUGAGCCUGGUCAGUACCUGAAUGGGAGACGUCCUAGGAAAAGAAACUAAGGUUGCUGCUGGAA
rnacentral:rRNA from 1 species